rnacentral:lncRNA from 1 species
AUGAUUACAAAAUUGGUAGUUAUGUGCUAUGGUAAUCUUAACCUAGACCGAUAUGGAAAUCGGCCACUUCCAUGGAGAUCUUGAACUCCUGAUCGCAGCACAAAAAGGAGUCGAUUAUGCUUGCCUUCCUCGAAUUUCUGCGGAAAGAAAGUUGCAUUGACGGUCCAGCGAGACCACAUGGUUGGCCCAAUGUUGGUGAAUCCUUUGGCGAUUUCCUCCGCAGAUAAAGUGCACAUUGGUGACAUUCUGCUCCUCAUUGUUGGUGGGGGCUGUCAGUGCCAAUAUCUUGGCGGACGGACCAGCAACGCGAAUAAUUCAGGACAGACAAUUUGGCAUGGUCUGUUUGGCACUUACUGGCUCAUACUUGCUCUGCAAUUGACAUGUUGUGGAAGCUGCCAUAAUUGUUUUAUUUAUGUUUUUGAUGGCUAAUUAUCCUUCGUAUUUUGGUUUUCACAACAACUUUAAAGUUUUGUGAAAAAUGGCGCGUGUUUUCUUGCAGUGUGACCACAAUUUUAU